rnacentral:tRNA from 1 species
UUCUUGAUAGUCUAAUUGGAAGAACGUGCAGCAAUAACUGUAAGACGGGGGUUCGAUUCCCCUUCAAGAAC